GACGAACGCUGGCGGCGUGCUUAACACAUGCAAGUCGAGCGGUAAGGCCCUUUCGGGGGUACACGAGCGGCGAACGGGUGAGUAACACGUGGGUGACCUGCCCUUAGCUCUGGGAUAAGCCUGGGAAAUUGGGUCUAAUACCGGAUAUGACUCCAUGACGCAUGUUGUGGGGUGGAAAGCCUUGUGCGGCUAGGGAUGGGCCCGCGGCCUAUCAGCUUGUUGGUGGGGUGAUGGCCUACCAAGGCGACGACGGGUAGCCGGCCUGAGAGGGCGACCGGCCACACUGGGACUGAGACACGGCCCAGACUCCUACGGGAGGCAGCAGUGGGGAAUCUUGCGCAAUGGGCGAAAGCCUGACGCAGCGACGCCGCGUGGGGAUGACGGCCU
rnacentral:rRNA from 1 species